GAGCCGCCCGGUGCCCAUGAUGGAACAACACCACCCUAUAGAAAUGCGUGCCUGCCUCUGCGCUGCGGAGGGUGACGCCUGUCGAAGGACAAUGACCCAACACACCUCCAGGCUGUGUAAAGGCUAUUUGACCAAGAAGGAGAGUGAAGGAUUGCUGCAUCAGAUGACCCGGCCUCCACAAUCACCCGACCUCAACCCAAUUGAGGUUUGGGAUGAGUUAGACCACAGAGUGAAGGAAAAGCAGCCAACAAGUGCUCAGCAUAUGUGGGAUCUCCUUCAAGACUGUUGGAAAAGCAUUCCUCAUGAAGAUGGUUGAGAGAAUGCCAAGAGUGUGCAAAGCUGUCAUCAAGGCAAAGGGGGAAGAAGAAGACUCUUCUUUGAGGAAUAUAAAAUAUCUAAUCUAUUUUGAUUUGUUUCACGCUUUUUUGGUUACUACAUGAUUCCAUAUGUGUUAUUUCAUAGUUUUGAUGUCUUCACUAUUAUUCUACAAUGUAGAAAAUUAGUACAAAAUAAAGAAAAACCCUUGAAUGAGUAGGUGUGUCCAAACUUUUGACUGGUACUGUAUGUUUUGUUUACAUUUACUUUAUUUAAACAGUUUAUAUUUUGGGUUCUGAUGGGGUACGACAGUUGAAAUGAGGCAUUCUUCAAGAACAACGGGUACUACUGAUAACUACUGAUUGCCCCUUUAAUGGCCCAGACUGUUUGGUUAGCAGCUUUAGAACCUCAGAGUUAACAACCGACUAUAUCGGCUGGUGGUGGGGAUGAAAGAAAACAAAUGUACUCAUUAAAAAUAACGUUUUUAAAGAAAACAUUUUGUUCAUCUUUUUUUAAAACUGUUGGCAACUGUUUUGUAAAAGCAAUAAAGCCCUUGAACCCGAA